UCCUCAUUCUUCUUCUUCUUCUGGCCCACAGUGAAUGUUGCUCUGAGCUAUCCUCAUUAUUCUCCUUCUGGCCUACAGUGAAUGUUGCUCUGAGCUAUCCUCAUUCUUCUUCUUCUGGCCCACAGUGAAUGUUGCUCUGCGCUAUCCUCAUUAUUAUUCUUCUGGCCCACAGUGAAUGUUGCUCUGAGCUAUCCUCAUUAUUCUCCUUCUGGCCUACAGUGAAUGUUGCUCUGAGCUAUCCUCAUUCUUCUUCUUCUGGCCCACAGUGAAUGUUGCUCUGCGCUAUCCUCAUUAUUAUUCUUCUGGCCCACAGUGAAUGUUGCUCUGAGCUAUCCUCAUUAUUCUUCUUCUGGCCCACAGUGAAUGUUGCUCUGAGCUAUCCUCAUUAUUCUCCUUCUGGCCCACAGUGUAUGUUGCUCUGGGGGGCAAAGCAGCCCAAUCCUCCACAUUCUAUGGAGGCACUGCAAAAAGAUCCAUUGAUGGAAUAUGGAACUUGACUUACGAAGAUCACUUCUGCAGCCACACUUUGGGAGAGACCAACCCCUGGUGGAAGGUGGACCUGCCGGAGACUUACCAAGUCCCCUCCGUCACCAUCACCAACAGAGAUACUUCAGCAGAGAGGAUCAACGGGGCUGAGAUCCACAUUGGAAACUCCCUGGAGAACGAUGGUAACAGUAACCCCAGGUAUGGCACUGCCCUUUCAUCUUACAUUUUAGCUUAGUAAAAAUGCCUUUGACAACUUUUGCUCCACUAGAUUCCUAUUUUUUGUUUACUUUUCACUCCCAUAUAUUUUCACUGACACCCAAAAGGCAGGACAGCAAAAUGGUCCAAUUCAUGCACUUGUAAAGACCAUUUUACUGGGUAACUUACUUUUUUACUUCUAUCUUUUUGUACUGCAGUAUAUUUACUUUUACUCAAGUAUGACAGUUGAGUACUUUUUUCACAACUGGGCUUUAAAAGGAGGUGACGAUAGAGAAUACGAGGAAUCCACCUCUUCCUAAUACAUCUUAAUGUUUCAUCCAGUUGUCCGUUGAUAUCCUACAUCCCAGCAGGGGGCGCCACUACAUUUCAAUGCCACGGGAUGUUGAUCCAGAGAUGAUCGAUGGUGCUGAAAUCCACUUGGGAAACUAUCUGCAGAAUAACGGCAACAACAAUCCAUUUUGAGGAAGCUCGUCAGCAAAUAUUGACUUAUUUAAAACACUAAAACACACAGUGCAUUUGAUGUUUAUGAUUUGAGAUCAAAAAACCUGAUUAUACGAUUUCCUUCUUUAGGUGCGCUGUGAUGUCCUCAUAUCCCGCGUGGGAGGUCAUGGCCUUUCAGUGCAGAGGGAUCAAGGGUCGCUAUGUGAACGUCUUCUUGCCGGGCUCAAAUAAACACCUGUCACUGUGUGAGGCGGAGGUGAAUGUGGGCAGCCGUCCUGAGAAUGCAGCCACUGGCGGGAUAGCCAGUCAGUUGUCACAGUGGGACAAGUUUGGAGAUGCCAACAAUGCCAUUGAUCUGAACCAAUCGGUAUCUGGAGGGGUCCUGCAGCCACACGAAAGAUAUAGACCCCUGGUGGCGGGUGGACAUGAGCAAGACCCACAACGUCACUUACGUCACCAUUACCAACAGAGGGGACUGAUGCUCCGACAGGAUCAGUGGAGCAGAGAUCCACGUUGGGGACUCACUGUUCAACAAAGACAAUAGCAACCCACAGUGACUUAUCUUCGUAACACAACUUCUGGCUGGCUACACAACCCACUAUGUGUCAUCCCAGUAACACAACUCUCCCUUAAACAACACAGCCAUCUCCAUAACUCAUCAUCAUCAACUAUGAGAAUUUAACCAGACUUAAAGGGGCAAUCCGGAGAUGAAACAAUAACAAACGGUUCUCCCGCCCUAGGGAUGAAUCUGGAGAAAUGUAACCACUCUUAAAUUCAUAGACAAAGCUAUGGAUGCAAGGACUGACCAUCUGUGAAAUUAAAAUUAUAGUUGAACCCAUGUUUUGAGGCUAUAUAGUUUGUUUACAUUUACUUUGUUUAAGAACAUUACAUACAUGUUCUGAUGGGCUACGACAGUUGAACUAAGCUCAUAAGGCAUUUCUAAGUUACAGUAAAUUCUUCAAGAAUCCAUCAUUAAUUUAUACAUCCCAAAAUGGAUUUAGCCACUACAGAUUGCCCUUUUAAGCUUUCAGGAAAUUCAUCCCUGAUCCCUUAUUUUCAUCAAAUACUGUUUGUCCCGCAAUCUUCUUAUAAAAUAUAACAAUGCUCAAGAUUCCUAUACCUGUAGGUGUUCCGGGAUUCCAUACAUCCCUGCUGGGCAAACCAGGACAUUUCCGUGCUUUGGGAUAUCGGGGCGUGAUGUCAACAUUCUCCUCCCAGGAAAAGAGAAGUGCCUGACUUUGUGUGAGGUGGAACUGCACGCAAGCACCUUUCAGGCAGCCCUGCCUUCAACUGUCACUGAGACAGCUGUUACAGCUCCAAACCUAAACCUGGCCUGGCUGUGGGAUCUUCUGAGAUCCCUCAGAAAACUUGCCAUUCGGAAAGAUCAGCUACUCCUACAUCCAAUGAUACAGUACCCUCCAGGCUAAAAUUUGGACCAGAAAUCAGAAAUUCUUAACCAGAGGCUUGUAAUUUUUCUGAGCAAACCCCAUCCCUCUUGUUUGAAAGAAGGCAACUU